GUGAAACUGCGAAUGGCUCAUUAAAUCAGUUAUGGUUCAUUUGAUCGUACAGUUUACUUGGAUAACUGUGGUAAUUCUAGAGCUAAUACAUGCGAGAAGCGCCGACCUCGCGGGAGGCGUGCAUUUAUCAGACCAAAAACCGGCCGCGUCUUCGGGCGCGUUCGCCUUGGUGACUCUGGAUAACUUUGCGGAUCGCACGGUCUAGCACCGGCGACGGAUCAUUCAAGUGUCUGCCCUAUCAACUUUCGUCGGUACGGUAUUUGCCUACCGAGGUUCUUACGGGUGACGGGGAAUCAGGGUUCGAUUCCGGAGAGGGAGCCUGAGAAACGGCUACCACAUCCAAGGAAGGCAGCAGGCGCGCAAAUUACCCAUUCCCGACGCGGGGAGGUAGUGACGAAAAAUAACAAUGCAGGACUCGUUCGAGGCCCUGUAAUUGGAAUGAGUACACUUUAAAAGCUUUAACGAGUAUCCAUUGGAGGGCAAGUCUGGUGCCAGCAGCCGCGGUAAUUCCAGCUCCAAAAGUAUAUAUUUAAGUUGUUGCGGUUAAAAAGCUCGUAGUUGGAUUUUGGGCGCAGGCGGCCGGUCCGUCGCAAGGCGUGUACUGGACGUCCUGGCCUUCCCUCCGGUUCUCCGCCGGUGCUCUUGACUGAGUGUCGGCGGCGGCCGGAACGUUUACUUUGAAAAAAUUAGAGUGUUGAAAAGCAGGCUCUCGAGCCUGGAUAAUGGUGCAUGGAAUAAUGGA
rnacentral:ncRNA from 1 species